rnacentral:rRNA from 1 species
CAAUAGCGUAUAUUAAAGUUGUUGCAGUUAAAAAGCUCGUAGUUGGAUUUCUGGUUGAAGCGACCGGUCGGGCGUUGAUUCGUCUGCACUGGAGUCGGUUUUGGCCAUCCUCUAGGAAAGUGCGUCUGGUAUUAAGUUAUCGGGCGUAUGAUCCUGGUCUUUUACUGUGAAAAAAUUAGAGUGUUUAAAGCAGGCCUUCGCCUUGAAUACAUUAGCAUGGAAUAAUAAGAUAGGACUUUGGUCUAUUUUGUUGGUUUGCAGACCGAAGUAAUGAUUAAUAGGGAUAGUUGGGGGUAUUUAUAUUCCGAUGUCAGAGGUGAAAUUCUUAGAUUUUCGGAAGAUAAACUUAUGCGAAAGCAUUAACCAAGGAUGUUUUCAUUAA